rnacentral:rRNA from 1 species
AACGAACGCUGGCGGCAUGCCUAACACAUGCAAGUCGAACGAGACCUUCGGGUCUAGUGGCGCACGGGUGCGUAAUGCGUGGGAAUCUGCCCUUGGGUUCGGAAUAACAGCGAGAAAUUGCUGCUAAUACCGGAUGAUGACGUAAGUCCAAAGAUUUAUCGCCCAAGGAUGAGCCCGCGUAGGAUUAGCUAGUUGGUGAGGUAAAGGCUCACCAAGGCGACGAUCCUUAGCUGGUCUGAGAGGAUGAUCAGCCACACUGGGACUGAGACACGGCCCAGACUCCUACGGGAGGCAGCAGUGGGGAAUAUUGGACAAUGGGCGAAAGCCUGAUCCAGCAAUGCCGCGUGAGUGAUGAAGGCCUUAGGUGUAAGCUCUUUACCCGGGAUGAUAAUGACAGUAUCGGGAGAAUAAGCUCCGGCUAACUACCGUGCCAGCAGCCGCGGUAAU